UGAUGUUGAGCAUUGUUUCAUGUGUCUGUUGGCCCCCUGGAUGUCUUCUAUGGAAAAGUGUCUAUUUAUGUUUUCUGCCCAUUUCUUCACUGGAUUAUUUGUUUUUCAGGUGUGGAGUUUGAAUUUUAGCCACGGAAGAGAUGCAAGCCUAUCCACGAAGGAAAAGAUUUGGUCCAGUGAGAAAACAUACAAACUACGAGAUGGAGAAGUUGUAUGAAAUCCAUCCGUAUGAACAGCUUUUCCUGGAUUAUACUUUGGACAAGUGGGACAAGUAAGACUUUGUGUCCUUUAAGGCCAAGAACUUUUCUGUGAAGAGGUUUGAGGAAGGGGAAGGGAGAAGCAAAUCAUCUGUAUACCGUAAUAAAUUAGAGACUGUAGAAGACUUUAUAUCAUCUAAAUCAGCUUUUAAGAUUUGUAAAGGUGGGAAGGACUCUCUGUGAAUCCCCGGGGCAUUAUUGUCCAGGUGUAUUUCUGUUCUUUCCUGUAAAAGACAAAAAAUAUAUUGGUUAUCUUUAUCAACUGGAAUACUAAAAAUGCACUGCAUAAAACAAUUAUAGUGAAGAGUUUGCUCUCAGUGGGAAUGGAUGUUAGCACAUGGGACUUAUGAACUUUAGGGUACUGAGGGAUAACUGUGGUUAUUUGUAUUUAUUGCUCAGAGGUCUUGGAGAAACCUCCAGCCGUGGCCAUGGGGUUUUCUCACAGGUAAAACAGAGGUGUUGCAGGGACCAUUGGAAGGGGUAAUUAGACCCUGAGCUUUAUAAUCUUUUAUAAUGGGCCUGAUGCCUUGAAGGACUUCUUUAUAAGGUAUUGAUUAUUAUGGGAGGAGGCUUUAAAGGAUCUAUUUAAAUCCUGAUGGGAGAUGCAGUGUAGAUUCUGCCCAUAUAAGUUGAGGAUUUUCUUGCAUAAAGAGGAUGGUAUCAGAUCUAAUAAGAAUAAAUAAUCAGUGUCCGCAGACUCAGCAAUAGUGCUGUCAGAGACAGAACAAACAAAAGAUGUCGAAUGGUCAUUUAAUUCCCCUAGUUGGCUAUUUUGGUUACAACUGUCAAAUUCUGGAAUGAUUUCCCCCUUUUGGGAGAGAUUUUGCUAUGAUACUUUUCUAAGAAAUCUUGGUCCGAUAAAUGAAUAAGGGCAUAAGAACAAAGGAGAAAAAAGGAUAGGUGUCUCUCAAGGGGCCUAGAUAAAAGAAAAUACGCUCAGAGGCAGGAAACUAUUGACGCUUAUUAGACACCCCAAGUAUUUGAGCUGUUUUAGUGCUCCAAGACAGGGACUGCUUUAUAUCAGGGGUGUUAAGCGCUGAGAGUGUAGGUCUGAUGUCAAUAAGGACAGGGAGAGAUUAAUUACCAAUCUGAAAAGUGUUUUCUUCUGAGCUGAUUAAGAAGAAGGAUUGGGAAGAGCCCUUGUAGUUCCCUGGACCAUGUCACUGGCAAUUCAGAGGGCUUUGGAAAGACUGACCAGAGGGCUGAGGAUGCAUGGAACAUUUAAAUUUGUAACAAUCUGUCUCUUUUUUUAAAUUCAAUAAUAGCAGAAAGGCUAUUUGGUUUUGUUCAAGGGUCUUCAUUUUCUGGAGUUGAACAUUGAGAAUUUUAGCAAUCUUUCUUCUAGUUGCCUCAUGUAGGGCGUGAGUUGGUUUGCCAUAUUAAGUAUAUUUGGAGUGGGUUACUUCCCAUUCCGUUCUGCUCCUCUUUAACUAAAAGAGAAAAGCUUAACCCUCUGAUAAACAUAGAGUUAAAUGCUACCUAGGUGGAUUCAACAUCUAAAAGAAGAUCAGAAUUUUACUUAAAGACAAUUUGGAGUUGAUUGUAAUAAUUAUUAACACAUUCAUCAAGCUUUGGUGUGCAAGCCUGAAUUUUGUUCUGAUCAAGAGGCUUAGGAAAAGUUAUUGUUUUUUUAAUAUGAAAUUUAUUGUCAAAUUGGUUUCCAUACAACACCCAGUGCUCAUCCCAACAGGUGCCCUCCCCAACACCCACUACCCACCCUCCCCAACCUCCCACCCCCCAUCAACCCUCAGUUUGUUCCCAGUUUUUAAAAGUCUCUUAUGUUUGGAUCCUUCCCUCUCCAACCUUUCUUUUUUUGUUGUUCUUUCCCCUCCCUCAUGGUCUUCUGGUAAGUUUCUCAGGAUCCACAUAAGAGUGAAAACAUAUGGUAUCUGUCUUUCUCUGUAGGACUUAUUUCACUUAGCAUAACACUCUCCAGUUCCAUCCACGUUGCUACAAAGGGCCAUAUUUCAU